rnacentral:rRNA from 1 species
UACGGGGGGGGGCAAGCGUUGUUCGGAAUUACUGGGCGUAAAGGGCUCGUAGGUGGCCAACUAAGUCAGACGUGAAAUCCCCCGGCUUAACCGGGGAACUGCGUCUGAUACUGGAUGGCUUGAGUUCGGGAGAGGGAUGCGGAAUUCCAGGUGUAGCGGUGAAAUGCGUAGAUAUCUGGAGGAACACCGGUGGCGAAGGCGGCAUCCUGGACCGACACUGACACUGAGGAGCGAAAGCCAGGGGAGCAAACGGG